rnacentral:rRNA from 1 species
GGCGGCAGGCUUAACACAUGCAAGUCGAACGGUAGCAGGUAAGUACUUGUACUUAUGCUGACGAGUGGCGGACGGGUGAGUAAUGCUUGGGGAUCUGGCUUAUGGAGGGGGAUAACGACGGGAAACUGUCGCUAAUACCGCGUAGAAUCGAGAGAUGAAAGUGUGGGACCUUCGGGCCACAUGCCAUAGGAUGAACCCAAGUGGGAUUAGGUAGUUGGUAGGGUAAUGGCCUACCAAGCCGACGAUCCCUAGCUGGUCUGAGAGGAUGACCAGCCACACCGGGACUGAGACACGGCCCGGACUCCUACGGGAGGCAGCAGUGGGGAAUAUUGCGCAAUGGGGGCAACCCUGACGCAGCCAUGCCGCGUGAAUGAAGAAGGCCUUCGGGUUGUAAAGUUCUUUCGGUGACGAGGAAGGCGUGAUGUUUAAUAGGCAUCACGAUUGACGUUAAUCACAGAAGAAGCACCGGCUAACUCCGUGCCAGCAGCCGCGGUAAUACGGAGGGUGCGAGCGUUAAUCGGAAU